GAUGAACGCUGGCGGCGUGCCUAAUACAUGCAAGUCGAGCGAACAGAUGAGGAGCUUGCUCCUCUGACGUUAGCGGCGGACGGGUGAGUAACACGUGGAUAACCUACCUAUAAGACCGGGAUAACUUCGGGAAACCGGAGCUAAUACCGGAUAAUAUAUUGAACCGCAUGGUUCAAUAGUGAAAGACGGUUUUGCUGUCACUUAUAGAUGGAUCCGCGCCGCAUUUGCUAGUUGGUAAGGUAACGGCUUACCAAGGCAACGAUGCGUAGCCGACCUGAGAGGGUGAUCGGCCACACUGGAACUGAGACACGGUCCAGACUCCUACGGGAGGCAGCAGUAGGGAAUCUUCCGCAAGGGGCGAAAGCCUGACGGAGCAACGCCGCGUGAGUGAUGAAGGUCUUCGGAUCGUAAAACUCUGUUAUUAGGGAAGAACAAAUGUGUAAGUAACUAUGCACGUCUUGACGGUACCUAAUCAGAAAGCCACGGCUAACUACGUG
rnacentral:rRNA from 1 species